GACAGCAGUAGCCGCGGUAAUACGAAGGGGGCUAGCGUUGUUUGGAUUUACUGGGCGUAAAGGGUGCGUAGGCGGAUUGUUAAGUCAGGGGUGAAAUCCCGAGGCUCAACCUCGGAACUGCCUUUGAUACUGGCGAUCUUGAGUCCGGGAGAGGUGAGUGGAACUGCGAGUGUAGAGGUGAAAUUCGUAGAUAUUCGCAAGAACACCGGUGGCGAAGGCGGCUCACUGGCCCGGUACUGACGCUGAGGCACGAAAGCGUGGGGAGCAAACAGGAUUAGAUACCCCCGUAGUCCCUGUCUCUUAUAA
rnacentral:rRNA from 1 species